AUGACAUCAGGCAGACGCAUGGCAUGUUGUCAUACCGGUUCCGCUGUCAACACAUGCCUUCGGUUGCCUCACUCCUCACUGCACUGUCCACCAUCCUGGAGCCAGGUCCCCUCAUCCAUCUACCAGGCUGGGGCCAGGUCCCCUCAUGUGUCCACCACCGCCGGGGACAGGUCCCCUCAUGUGUCCACCACCCCCGGGGCCAGGUCCCCUCAUGUGUCCACCACCCCCGGGCCAGGUCCCCUCGUCCUUCCACCACCCCCGGGGCCAGGUCCCCUUAUCCAUCUACCACCCCGGGGCCAGGUCCCCUCAUGUGUCCACCACUGCCGGGGACAGGUCCCCUCAUGUGUCCACCAACCCCGGGGCCAGGUCCCCUCAUCCGUCCACCACCCCGGGGCCAGGUCCCCUCAUGUGUCCACCACCCCCGGGGCCAGGUCCCCUCAUCCGUCCACCACCCCCGGGGCCAGGUCCCCUCAUGUGUCCACCACCCCCGGGGCCAGGUCCCCUCAUCCGUCCACCACCCCCGGGGCCAGGUCCCCUCAUGUGUCCACCACCCCCGGGGCCAGGUCCCCUCAUCCAUUCACCACCCCGGGGCCAGGUCCCCUCAUGUGUCCACCACCCCCGGGGCCAGGUCCCCUCAUCCAUCCACCACCCCCGGGGCCAAGUCCCCUCAUCUCUCACCUGAAUUAUCGCAGUGGCCUCUGGCAGGUCUUUCUGCUUUCACCUUGCUCCCCGGCCCCUCGUCCACUCUCAACACAGGAGUCACAGGGCCCCUUUAGAAAAUGAAAAACGUAUCAAUCCUCUACUCAAAAGCUUCCACAGCUGCCCUCUCAUUCAGAUGAAAAGCUGAUGUUUUUGCUGGUCUCAGGCCCUCCCUCGCCGGCCCCCAUCCCCCUCUGACUUCUUCUGCUGCCGCUUUCCUUCCUGCACACUCCACGCUGGCCGUACAGGCCUCCCGACUGGUCUUGAACACACCAGGCCUUCUCCUGCCUUUGUGACUUGGAACUCCCCCUUCCCUCUUCUCCCAUAAUCCAUUUGGCUUGUUCCCCCACCACCCUCAGAUCCGCUCAAAUGUCACAGACGAGGCUUUCCUUCUCUCACCAUCCUAUUCAAAAUUGCUAUCCUCAGGGCACGACCCUCAAAGUAUUGUUGGGAAAAGUCAACAGAAAAAAAGGGAGUGAAGACCUGCCACCUAGUUGGUGCUUUCUGAACACGGAGUCCCCCUCUUCUCCUGAGGAAGAAUACAGAGCCAGUGGAUAAAAACAGUGGAAGCAUGCAAAAGUGGCAGUGGUUGGUGUGUUAAAUAGAGUGCUUAAGAAUAUUUAUAAACAGGGGUGCCUGGGGGGAUCAGUCGGUUAAGCGUCCAACUUCGGCUCAGGUCAUGAUCUCACAGCUCGUGGGUUCGAGCCCUGUGUCGGGCUCUGUGCCGACAGCUCGGAGCCUGGAACCUGCUUCAGAUUCUGUCUCCCUCUCUGUCUGCUCCUCUCCUGCUCACACUCUAUCUCUCUAAAAAUUAAAUAAAAACAUUAAAAAAAAU
rnacentral:lncRNA from 1 species